UAACGCGUAAAGAACUUGCCUCACAGCUAGGGACAACAUUUAGAAAUGAAUGCUAAUACCUGAUAUUAUGAUUUUAAGGCAUCUUAGAAUUAUGAAGGCUAUAAGCACUGUGAGAGAGCUUUGCGUCCCAUUAGCUAGUUGGAGAGGUAACAGCUCACCAAGGCGAUGAUGGGUAGCCGGCCCGAGAGGGUGAACGGCCACAAGGGGACUGAGACACGGCCCUU
rnacentral:rRNA from 1 species